GUGAUCCUCUCGCUCUCUCUUGACUUCCUGUUUGUCAGUCACGUUGGGUGAUAAUGACCUUCUUAUUUGUUGAGAAUAAUUAAGACCCGCCUUCUCAAGACGCGAUCUCAGAGUUAAGUUAGUUCUUCGUUCUUUUACGCUCUGGACGCAGAUGCGAGAGGCUGUGUGUGAUGACCACUUUUGUUUUUGCUAAGCUAAAUGAUUAUUUCGUUGAAUCCAUGUGUGAACCUGAAGGGCUGUGACGGUGUCUGUCCCAUGUUCAUGCUAACACAUCAUCUUGGCUAGGUUUUUUGUGUGUGUGACGAUUAAGAAGACAAAGACAAGACUGGAUCUGGAUUCUUCUUUGGAGGAAACGGCGAGCCUGUCCCAGAACCCAGAACUGAGAGCAACCUUCCUCUCUGCUCUUCUUAUCGAACUCAUCACGUUGUAACCACUCAAACUACCACAGCGAGGAUCCUGUUGGAACAUUGACUUUGACUAUACUGACUGAAUAUACUGA